UUACAACAAUCUUAAUACUAAAAAUUAUAUAAGAUAUAUAACAUUUUAUACAUUAUAAACUAUAUACUGCUUACAUCAGCAGCAAAUAUUCGAGAAUACGUGGUUCAAAUAGUCCUCCCUUGCAUAAUAGCACCUCUGAAUAAGUAACUUCUUCAAUUCCCUUGUGAACUGAGUUUGUUUUUUUAUUUCUUUUAUGUUGUUAGGCAAUUUGUUGUGAAAGAUACAGCCAGCUACUGAAGGAUUACUAUUAUAAAGUUCUAAGUUGUGCCCAUAUAUAUGAUAGUCUUUAUUAUUUCUUGUGUUGUAUGUGUGUAUUCGUUCUUUCACUGUGCAGUUACACUUUUUUUUAACACAUAUAGAAUUGUUUCUUGUAUAUAUAGCGAGUAUACUGUUAGUAUCUUUAGAUUUCUAAAGCUAUCCCAGCACAGUUCGAGAUGUUAUUCCAUAUGAUAGAUGAGGAAGGAUCAAACCAUAAUACAACAUUCUUCUUUCAUUUAAACCGAGUAUUUUAGAUAGCCUGUUAAUUAUUGCAGGUUUUUUCAACAUGUAAUUCCCAGCUCAAGUGCGGCAGUUGCCGGAAGUUGCCUGGUCGCAGAGCGUGGUUGCUGGAAGACGUCUGGUCGCGGAGCACAGUCACUGGAGUGGCGGCAGCUGUGCCAGUUGCCCGGUGUGUUGGGCAUGACCACCUCAGAGCCAAGGCAGCAUCCCUGAUGCAGUGAUGAGCCGAUGACUCCGAAGACUGAUCGCUCUGGGCUAGGUGUGAUGGCUGACUGGCUGAUGUGGUCACUAAUGAUUGUGAGCUUUGGGCUCCGCCUUUUAUACCAUGCUUGAUGGAGGAGCGAAACUUGCAGUUGCAAUUGUGAGUGCUGAUUGGCUAGCGCGUGUGAUGGUUACAAGUGAGCUGGAUAGCGAGCGCUGUAUAAAUAUGAGAGCUGAUAGCAAUAUGCGGCAAUGUGCUAUUGACUCAGGAGUGAGUGUUGUCCGUUGAUCGACGAAACAGUGUGAUAGUAUGUUGGAUGUUCCCACACCCCUUUUCCCUUUGUCAGUCAAGGGAAGCAGUUCAGGAGGAGGGAGAGUAUUCUGCAACUGCCAAGUUGGUCAGUCACUAGAGUUGAUCUAGAAGCUUGAUCUCAAAUGGUGUACAAUAGAGAACCAUGACCCAGUAAGAUACAGCUAUCAGAUUAUUAGCAAGUAAAGCACCCAGCACAUACUUUCAGACAUUAUAAAUUUGUAUCUAGAUCUUGAACCAAUGUACUGGGGCCAAUAAAGUUAGUUACCACCGUUUAAGCGUAUCCAAUUAGUUCAUCCAAAUUUGUAGCAGGUGCUCUUGAGGCCUACCUUCAUUUCCGUGUGAUUGAUCAUAGGAUCUAAACAAAUAAUAGGUAGGUUGCUGGAGCCACGGGUCUAUGAGCUAUUUUUAUUUCCACAAAGAACUGACUUUUGCUUUUUGGAACAAUUCUUUGUUUUACAUGUGUCAAUUUAUUUUUCUGCACAUUAUAUUUUGUUGAUGGUUAAUAUAUUAAAGAGGUGUAAAAUGA